rnacentral:lncRNA from 1 species
CGCCCAUGAAUCCCCUUCUCUCAGCUCUCUCUCAAUCUCUCUUAGAAACCUAGCCACCUCCCUCUACUUCUACCUUAAACCACCGGAAUCCAUGGCUUCAAAGGCUAUCGGAGUCCUAUAUCGGCCUCCUAUGACUCUUACGCGCUUGUUUACUGAAGUUUCAAAGCUGGCCACAAAGAAGCUUGGUCCAGGCUUUGUUUGACUCAAGUUCUAUGGCCCUCUCCGGCCAUGCUCCGGCAAGCCAUGGUUGUUUCGAGCCUGAUCUAGACCUCUCCUACUUAGAUAAAUGACUCUCCAAGACUUUCUCACCAUCCGGUUUCUUCUGAAACCCUAGCCUUUGAGGUCC